rnacentral:rRNA from 1 species
CGCCUGUUUAUCAAAAACAUCUUUUCUUGUUAGUUUUUGAAGUAUGGCCNGCCCGCUGACNUUAGUGUUGAAGGGCCGCGGUAUUUUGACCGUGCAAAGGUAGCAUAGUCAUUAGUUCUUUAAUUGUGAUCUGGUAUGAAUGGCUUGACGAGGCAUGGGCUGUCUUAAUUUUGAAUUGUUUAUUGAAUUUGGUCUUUGAGUUAAAAUUCUUAGAUGUUUUUAUGGGACGAGAAGACCCUAUAGAGUUUGACAUUUAUUAUGGUCUCUUUCUUGUUUGUGAGGGUUUACUAGGCCGUUUAAUGUGUUUUGUUGGGGUGAUGGGAGGGAUAUAAUUUAACCCCUCCUUUGUGUUGUUAUAUUUAUUUAUAUUUGUUUGAUCCAUUUAUUUUGAUUGUAAGAUUAAAUUACCUUAGGGAUAACAGCGUAA